rnacentral:rRNA from 1 species
AUUGAACGCUGGCGGCAGGCCUAACACAUGCAAGUCGAACGAGUGGCGGACGGGUGAGUAAUGUCUGGGAAACUGCCUGAUGGAGGGGGAUAACUACUGGAAACGGUAGCUAAUACCGCAUAACAUCGGAAGUGCCCAGAGGGGAUUAGCGAGUAGGUGGGGGAACGGCUCACCUAGGCGACGAUCCCUAGAUGGUCUGAGAGGAUGACCAGCCACACUGGAACUGAGACACUGUCCAGACUCCUCCGGGAGGCAGCAGUGGGUAAUAUUGCACAAGGGGCGCAAGCCUGAUGCAGCCAUGCCGCGUGUAUGAAGAAGGCCUGCGGUUUGUAAAGCACUUUCAGCGGGGAGGCGUUACCCGCAGAAGAAGCACCGGCUAACUCCGUGCCAGCAGCCGCGGUAAUAC